GAUGAAGAACGCAGUGAAAUGCGAUAAUUAAUGUGAAUUGCAGAAUUCAGUGAAUCAUCGAGUCUUUGAACGCACAUUGCGCCCCCUGGUAUUCCGGGGGGCAUGCCUGUCCGAGCGUCAUUGCUGCCCUCAAGCACGGCUUGUGUGUUGGGCUUCCGUCCCUGGCAACGGGGACGGGCCCAAAAGGCAGUGGCGGCACCAUGUCUGGUCCUCGAGCGUAUGGGGCUUUGUCACCCGCUCCCGUAGGUCCAGCUGGCAGCUAGCCUCGCAACCAAUCUUUUUAACCAGGUUGACCUCGGAUCAGGUAGGGAUACCCGCUGAACUUAAGCAUAUCAAUAAGGGAGGA
rnacentral:misc_RNA from 1 species